GGGUUGUGAGGUUAAGCGACUAAGCGUACACGGUGGAUGCCCUGGCAGUCAGAGGCGAUGAAGGACGUGCUAAUCUGCGAUAAGCGUCGGUAAGGUGAUAUGAACCGUUAUAACCGGCGAUUUCCGAAUGGGGAAACCCAGUGUGAUUCGUCACACUAUCAUUAACUGAAUCCAUAGGUUAAUGAGGCGAACCGGGGGAACUGAAACAUCUAAGUACCCCGAGGAAAAGAAAUCAACCGAGAUUCCCCCAGUAGCGGCGAGCGAACGGGGAGCAGCCCAGAGCCUGAAUCAGUGUGUGUGUUAGUGGAAGCGUCUGGAAAGGCGCGCGAUACAGGGUGACAGCCCCGUACACAAAAAUGCACAUGCUGUGAGCUCGAUGAGUAGGGCGGGACACGUGGUAUCCUGUCUGAAUAUGGGGGGACCAUCCUCCAAGGCUAAAUACUCCUGACUGACCGAUAGUGAACCAGUACCGUGAGGGAAAGGCGAAAAGAACCCCGGCGAGGGGAGUGAAAAAGAACCUGAAACCGUGUACGUACAAGCAGUGGGAGCACAGAGCAAUCUGUGUGACUGCGUACCUUUUGUAUAAUGGGUCAGCGACUUAUAUUCUGUAGCAAGGUUAACCGAAUAGGGGAGCCGAAGGGAAACCGAGUCUUAACUGGGCGUUAAGUUGCAGGGUAUAGACCCGAAACCCGGUGAUCUAGCCAUGGGCAGGUUGAAGGUUGGGUAACACUAACUGGAGGACCGAACCGACUAAUGUUGAAAAAUUAGCGGAUGACUUGUGGCUGGGGGUGAAAGGCCAAUCAAACCGGGAGAUAGCUGGUUCUCCCCGAAAGCUAUUUAGGUAGCGCCUCGUGAAUUCAUCUCCGGGGGUAGAGCACUGUUUCGGCAAGGGGGUCAUCCCGACUUACCAACCCGAUGCAAACUGCGAAUACCGGAGAAUGUUAUCACGGGAGACACACGGCGGGUGCUAACGUCCGUCGUGAAGAGGGAAACAACCCAGACCGCCAGCUAAGGUCCCAAAGUCAUGGUUAAGUGGGAAACGAUGUGGGAAGGCCCAGACAGCCAGGAUGUUGGCUUAGAAGCAGCCAUCAUUUAAAGAAAGCGUAAUAGCUCACUGGUCGAGUCGGCCUGCGCGGAAGAUGUAACGGGGCUAAACCAUGCACCGAAGCUGCGGCAGCGACACUGUGUGUUGUUGGGUAGGGGAGCGUUCUGUAAGCCUGCGAAGGUGUGCUGUGAGGCAUGCUGGAGGUAUCAGAAGUGCGAAUGCUGACAUAAGUAACGAUAAAGCGGGUGAAAAGCCCGCUCGCCGGAAGACCAAGGGUUCCUGUCCAACGUUAAUCGGGGCAGGGUGAGUCGACCCCUAAGGCGAGGCCGAAAGGCGUAGUCGAUGGGAAACAGGUUAAUAUUCCUGUACUUGGUGUUACUGCGAAGGGGGGACGGAGAAGGCUAUGUUGGCCGGGCGACGGUUGUCCCGGUUUAAGCGUGUAGGCUGGUUUUCCAGGCAAAUCCGGAAAAUCAAGGCUGAGGCGUGAUGACGAGGCACUACGGUGCUGAAGCAACAAAUGCCCUGCUUCCAGGAAAAGCCUCUAAGCAUCAGGUAACAUCAAAUCGUACCCCAAACCGACACAGGUGGUCAGGUAGAGAAUACCAAGGCGCUUGAGAGAACUCGGGUGAAGGAACUAGGCAAAAUGGUGCCGUAACUUCGGGAGAAGGCACGCUGAUAUGUAGGUGAAGUCCCUCGCGGAUGGAGCUGAAAUCAGUCGAAGAUACCAGCUGGCUGCAACUGUUUAUUAAAAACACAGCACUGUGCAAACACGAAAGUGGACGUAUACGGUGUGACGCCUGCCCGGUGCCGGAAGGUUAAUUGAUGGGGUCAGCGCAAGCGAAGCUCUUGAUCGAAGCCCCGGUAAACGGCGGCCGUAACUAUAACGGUCCUAAGGUAGCGAAAUUCCUUGUCGGGUAAGUUCCGACCUGCACGAAUGGCGUAAUGAUGGCCAGGCUGUCUCCACCCGAGACUCAGUGAAAUUGAACUCGCUGUGAAGAUGCAGUGUACCCGCGGCAAGACGGAAAGACCCCGUGAACCUUUACUAUAGCUUGACACUGAACAUUGAGCCUUGAUGUGUAGGAUAGGUGGGAGGCUUUGAAGUGUGGACGCCAGUCUGCAUGGAGCCGGCCUUGAAAUACCACCCUUUAAUGUUUGAUGUUCUAACGUUGACCCGUAAUCCGGGUUGCGGACAGUGUCUGGUGGGUAGUUUGACUGGGGCGGUCUCCUCCUAAAGAGUAACGGAGGAGCACGAAGGUUGGCUAAUCCUGGUCGGACAUCAGGAGGUUAGUGCAAUGGCAUAAGCCAGCUUGACUGCGAGCGUGACGGCGCGAGCAGGUGCGAAAGCAGGUCAUAGUGAUCCGGUGGUUCUGAAUGGAAGGGCCAUCGCUCAACGGAUAAAAGGUACUCCGGGGAUAACAGGCUGAUACCGCCCAAGAGUUCAUAUCGACGGCGGUGUUUGGCACCUCGAUGUCGGCUCAUCACAUCCUGGGGCUGAAGUAGGUCCCAAGGGUAUGGCUGUUCGCCAUUUAAAGUGGUACGCGAGCUGGGUUUAGAACGUCGUGAGACAGUUCGGUCCCUAUCUGCCGUGGGCGCUGGAGAACUGAGGGGGGCUGCUCCUAGUACGAGAGGACCGGAGUGGACGCAUCACUGGUGUUCGGGUUGUCAUGCCAAUGGCACUGCCCGGUAGCUAAAUGCGGAAGAGAUAAGUGCUGAAAGCAUCUAAGCACGAAACUUGCCCCGAGAUGAGUUCUCCCUGACUCCUUGAGAGUCCUGAAGGAACGUUGAAGACGACGACGUUGAUAGGCCGGGUGUGUAAGCGCAGCGAUGCGUUGAGCUAACCGGUACUAAUGAACCGUGAGGCUUAACCUUACAACGCCGAAGCUGUU
rnacentral:rRNA from 1 species